GUACACGGUGGAUGCCCUGGCAGUCAGAGGCGAUGAAGGACGUGCUAAUCUGCGAAAAGCGACGGCGAGGUGAUAUGAACCUUUGACCCGUCGAUGUCCGAAUGGGGAAACCCAGUGUGUUUCGACACACUAUCGUUAACUGAAUACAUAGGUUAACGAGGCGAACCGGGGGAACUGAAACAUCUAAGUACCCCGAGGAAAAGAAAUCAACCGAGAUUCCCCCAGUAGCGGCGAGCGAACGGGGAGCAGCCCGGAGUCUGAAUCAGCUUGUGUGUUAGUGGAACGGUCUGGAAAGUCCGACGGUACAGGGUGAUAGUCCCGUACACGAAAAUGCACAUGCUGUGAACUCGAAGAGUAGGGCGGGACACGUGGUAUCCUGUCUGAAUAUGGGGGGACCAUCCUCCAAGGCUAAAUACUCCUGACUGACCGAUAGUGAACCAGUACCGUGAGGGAAAGGCGAAAAGAACCCCGGCGAGGGGAGUGAAAAAGAACCUGAAACCGUGUACGUACAAGCAGUGGGAGCACCUUCGGGUGUGACUGCGUACC
rnacentral:rRNA from 1 species